rnacentral:rRNA from 1 species
CGGGAGGCAGCAGUGGGGAAUCUUUCGCAAUGGACGAAAGUCUGACGGAGCAACGCCGCGUGAGUGAUGACGGUCUUCGGAUUGUAAAGCUUUGUUAAUCGGGACGAAUGGUUUGUGUGCAAAUAGUGCAUAGACAUGACGGUACCGGAAUAGAAAGCCACGGCUAACUACGUGCCAGCAGCCGCGGUAAUACGUAGGUGGCAAGCGUUGUCCGGAAUUAUUGGGCGUAAAGCGCGCGCAGGCGGACUAGCCAGUCAGUCUUAAAAGUUCGGGGCUUAACCCCGUGAUGGGAUUGAAACUACUAGUCUAGAGUAUCGGAGAGGAAAGUGGAAUUCCUAGUGUAGCGGUGAAAUGCGUAGAUAUUAGGAAGAACACCAGUGGCGAAGGCGACUUUCUGGACGAACACUGACGCUGAGGCGCGAAAGCCAGGGGAGCGAACGGGAUUAGAUACCCCGGUAGUCCUGGCCGUAAACGAUGGGUACUAAGUGUGGGAGGUAUCGACCCCUUCCGUGCUGCAGUUAACGCAAUAAGUACCCCGCCUGGAGA